AAAUACACGAACAGUCCGAGCUUUUUAAAAAUAUAUGGCUAGAAGAGGUUGAAACUUGUGAUUAAAAUGAGUCUUUUGAGUGUGUGAAAAGUAUUUUCAUCACUUUAAUUUUUUUAAGUGCUCUAGAACUAGCUAAAAUGGGCAAAACGUACUAGAAUAAACAUAGCUGAAUGAGUUGAAUUUACAAACUAGUGGAAGCCUUCUAUUGAACAGUAAUUUACCUUGUAAU
rnacentral:lncRNA from 1 species